rnacentral:rRNA from 1 species
AUACGAAGGGGGCUAGCGUUGUUCGGAAUUACUGGGCGUAAAGCGCGCGUAGGCGGAUUGGUCAGUUAGGGGUGAAAUCCCAGGGCUUAACCCUGGAACUGCCUCUAAUACUUCCAGUCUUGAGUUCGGGAGAGGUGAGUGGAAUUCCUAGUGUAGAGGUGAAAUUCGUAGAUAUUAGGAAGAACACCAGUGGCGAAGGCGGCUCACUGGCCCGAUACUGACGCUGAGGCGCGAAAGCGUGGGGAGCAAACAGGAUUAGAUACCCUAGUAGUCC